UUUUAUAUGUUGCAGAAAGUUUUUCCAGUUUUUGAUAACAAUGAUGCAAAUAGACGGUAGUCUAAAUAUCACGAACGUACCGAUUUAGAAAAAUUAGAUAAGAGUUACGAAUGUUAUCGAUGAUGAAAAGAAGUAGAUUGAGUAAAGUAGAAAUAAGUGGAUUACUCGGGAAAUUGCAUUGAUAAGAUUAAAAGUUUUUUUUCUAUGUUUUCUCAUCGUCCAUUUGUGCGACUGACAUUAACUUAAUAUUCCCCAUUCAGGGUAUAUUAACCCCUUUCGAAUAAUUUUUCAUUCGAGAGAAACUCGGACGAUAUAUAUAUAUAUAUCCCAUAAUCUUUCAUUUUCGAUUUUCAUUAUUGUCUAAAU